rnacentral:lncRNA from 1 species
ACAUUCAUUAUUGAGUUUUCAUAAUGACUUAGUUUUUAUAGUGAUGAUCCAGUAACACUACACCACUUCAUCUAGUUGUGGUCUAAUUUAUUAAACAAUUUCUUAUCAUUUAGUUUAUUCCUAAAGAAUAGAGUCAUUCAUUCAGCAAGCAUUUAGAAGUCUACAGUGUUCAAGCUUUGUGUGCCAGCCUCAUAAAAAUGAAGAAAAUAUGGACCUUGCCCUCAAGGAACUCUCCAACUAUAGUAGAGACAGGGUCGCACUCUGUCGCCCAGGCUGGUGGAAUGCAGUGACAAAUCAUGGCUCACUGAAGCCUCAACCUCCUGGACUCAACCCUCCCACCUCAGCCUCCUGAGUAGCUGGGACUACAGAUGUGUACCACCAUGCCUGGCUGCCUUUUAAAUUAUUUUGUAGAGAUGGUGUCCCACUCUGUUGCCCACACUGGUCUUGAACUCCCGGGCUUAAGUGAUCCUCAUGCCUCGGCCUCCCAAAAUGCUAAGAUUAUGUGAGCCACUGUGCCUGGCCUCCCCUACUUCUUGUAUGUAUAUAUAUAUUUUUUGAGAUGGAGUUUCACUAUUGUUGCCCAGGCUGGAGUGCAAUGGUGCGAUCUCAGCUCACUGCAACCUCC